rnacentral:tRNA from 5 species
GGAGAGGUGGCAGAGUCCGGUUGAAUGCGCACGACUCGAAAUCGUGUAGGGGUCACACCCUCGUGGGUUCGAAUCCCACCCUCUCCG